AGAACGAACGCUGGCGGCAGGCUUAACACGUGCAAGUCGAACGGUUGUAGCAAUACAGCAGUGGCGCACGGGUGAGUAACGCGUGGGAACAUACCUUUCAGUUCGGAAUAACAGCGGGAAACUGCUGCUAAUACCGGAUAUUCUCCUCGGAGGAAAGAUUUAUCGCUGAAAGAUUGGCCCGCGUCAGAUUAGCUAGUUGGUGGGGUAAUGGCCUACCAAGGCUCCGAUCUGUAGCUGGUCUGAGAGGACGACCAGCCACACUGGAACUGAGACACGGUCCAGACUCCUACGGGAGGCAGCAGUGGGGAAUAUUGGACAAUGGGCGAAAGCCUGAUCCAGCCAUGCCGCGUGAAUGAUGAAGGCCUUAGGGUUGUAAAGUUCUUUGCCAGGAAGAUAAUGACGGUACCGUGGAGAAUAAGCACCGGCUAACUCGUCGCCAGCAGCCGC
rnacentral:rRNA from 1 species